rnacentral:rRNA from 1 species
GUGGGGAAUAUUGGACAAUGGGGGGAACCCUGAUCCAGUCAUGCCGCGUGUGUGAAGAAGGCCUUUUGGUUGUAAAGCACUUUAAGCGAGGAGGAGGCUACCGAGAUUAAUACUCUUGGUUAGUGGACGUUACUCGCAGAAUAAGCACCGGCUAACUCUGUGCCAGCAGCCGCGGUAAUACAGAGGGUGCACGCUUUAAUCGGAUUUACUGGGCGUACAGCGCGCGUAGGUGGCCAAUUAAGUCAAAUGUGAAAUCACCGAGCUUAACUUGGGAAUUGCAUUCGAUACUGGUUGGCUAGAGUAUGGGAGAGGAUGGUAGAAGUCCAGGUGUAGCGGUGAAAUGCGUAGAGAUCUGGAGGAAUACCGAUGGCGAAGGCAGCCAUCUGGCCUAAUACUGACACUGAGGUGCGAAAGCAUGGGGAGCAAACAGGAUUAGAUACCCGAGUAGUCC